rnacentral:rRNA from 1 species
UACGGGGGGUGCGAGCGUUAAUCGGAAUAACUGGGCGUAAAGGGCGCGCAGGAGGACUGUUAAGUGAGGUGUGAAAUCCCCGGGCUUAACCUGGGAAUGGCAUUUGAUACUGGGGGUCUAGAGUACUUUAGGGAGGGGUAGAAUUCCACGUGUAGCGGUGAAAUGCGUAGAGAUGUGGAGGAAUAUCGAAGGCGAAGGCAGCCACUUGG